rnacentral:rRNA from 1 species
AUUGAACGCUGGCGGCAGGCCUAACACAUGCAAGUCGAACGAGUGGCGGACGGGUGAGUAAUGUCUGGGAAACUGCCCGAUGGAGGGGGAUAACUACUGGCAACGGUAGCUAAUACCGCAUACCAUCGGAUGUGCCCAGAUGGGAUUAGCUUGUAGGUGAGGUAACGGCUCACCUAGGCGACGAUCCCUAGCUGGUCUGAGAGGAUGACCAGCCACACUGGAACUGAGACACGGUCCAGACUCCUACGGGAGGCAGCAGUGGGGAAUAUUGCACAAUGGGCGCAAGCCUGAUGCAGCCAUGCCGCGUGUAUGAAGAAGGCCUUCGGGUUGUAAAGUACUUUCAGCGGGGAGGCGUUACCAACAGAAUAAGCACCGGCUAACUUCGUGCCAGCAGCCGCGGUAAUAC